UACGAAGGGGGCUAGCGUUGCUCGGAAUCACUGGGCGUAAAGGGUGCGUAGGCGGGUCUUUUAAGUCAGGGGGUGAAAUCCUGGAGCUCAACUCCAGAACUGCCUUUGAUACUGAAGAUCUUGAGUUCGGGAGAGGUGAGUGGAACUGCGAGUGUAGAGGUGAAAUUCGUAGAUAUUCGCAAGAACACCAGUGGCGAAGGCGGCUCACUGGCCCGAUACUGACGCUGAGGCACGAAAGCGUGGGGGAGCAAACAGGA
rnacentral:rRNA from 1 species